GAUGAACGCUGGCUACAGGCUUAACACAUGCAAGUCGAGGGGAAACGACGGGGAAGCUUGCUUCCCCGGGCGUCGACCGGCGCACGGGUGAGUAACGCGUAUCCAACCUGCCUCUGACUGAGGGAUAACCCGUCGAAAGUCGGCCUAAUACCUCAUGGCAUCGUCUGCGGGCAUCCAACGACGAUUAAAGAUUUCAUCGGUCAGGGAUGGGGAUGCGUCUGAUUAGCUUGUUGGCGGGGUAACGGCCCACCAAGGCUACGAUCAGUAGGGGUUCUGAGAGGAAGGUCCCCCACAUUGGAACUGAGACACGGUCCAAACUCCUACGGGAGGCAGCAGUGAGGAAUAUUGGUCAAGGGGCGGGAGCCUGAACCAGCCAAGUAGCGUGCAGGAUGACGGCCCUAUGGGUUGUAAACUGCUUUUAUGCGGGGAUAAAGUGAGGGACGUGUCUUUCAUUGCAGGUACCGCAUGAAUAAGGACCGGCUAAUUCCGUG
rnacentral:rRNA from 1 species